CGCAAGUUACGAGAUUGACGGAUGACAGCAUAACAGAUGGGACAGGUGGCCGGUUGUUCGGAUUGGGAUCGGGAGCGGGGUUCUGUAAACAAAAAGAAAAAAUAUUGAAAAAUUCUGUUCCGUUGUUGUGAUGUGUGUUGCUUGAUUGGAUGAUGCCCAGCCAAGACCAAAAAUAAACUGGUGUGUGCAAUUUCACCCAAAACUCAUAAAUGUUUAUUUUAUCAUCAAUUUCUACUAUAAAUAUGUUAAAGAAUUGUGUACGAGUAUUUAGUACUCGCAUGAGACAAAAUCAAAAAAUCAGCCUACACUCACCACAUUUUAACGAGAUACACAUGAAUCAGUCUCGAAAUAAACAACAACAAAUUGUAAAGGGAGUAUAAAAAAGAGGGUUCAUAGAGCUCUAGCAACAAAAACAUUAAAGUUUUUUCUUCUCGCCAUGACAAAAAUGAAAGAAAACAAAUAUCUACCACUCUAUAUGUGGACUGAAAAGAAUGAAAAACCUAAAAUUUAAGAGGAAUUGACGCAUUUCAAACUCUCAAGUAGUGAAAUCUUAUAAGAAUUUUUCUAUUGUUGUUGUGUUAAUUUUAUUUUAAAAUAAAACCAAAUAACCCUCAGUUCAGAGAAUGGAGGGCAACGAUGUCUGUCUUUUUGUCUGUCCGCAUGACUGUCUAUCUCAUUCUCGU